rnacentral:rRNA from 1 species
GGGGCCGCACAAGCGCGGAGCAUGCGGAUUAUUCGAUGCAACGCGAAGAACCUUACCAAGGCUUGACAUGACCGGAAUGAUGCAGAGAUGUGUCAGCCACUUGUGGCCGGUUUACAGGUGGUGCGUGGUUGUCGUCAGCUCGUGUCGUGAGAUGUUGGGUUAAGUCCCGCAACGAGCGCAACCCUCGUUCCAUGUUGCCAGCGGGUUAUGCCGGGGACUCAUGGGAGACUGCCGGGGUCAACUCGGAGGAAGGUGGGGACGACGUCAAAUCAUCAUGCCCCUUAUGUCUUGGGCUUCACGCAUGCUACAAUGGCCGGUACAAAGGGUUGCGAUACUGUGAGGUGGAGCUAAUCCCAAAAAGCCGGUCUCAGUUCGGAUUGAGGUCUGCAACUCGACCUCAUGAAGUUGGAGUCGCUAGUAAUCGCAGAUCAGCAACGCUGCGGUGAAUACGUUCCCGGGCCUUGUACACACCGCCG